GGGCUGAGAUGAGGCGUGAUGACGAGGCUCUUCGGAGCCGAAGCGAGUGAUACCCAGCUUCCAGGAAAAAGCCUCUAAGCUUCAGUCUAAGAGUGACCGUACCGCAAACCGACACAGGUGGGCUGGUAGAGAAUACCAAGGCGCUUGAGAGAACUCAGGAGAAGGAACUCGGCAAAUUGAUACCGUAACUUCGGGAGAAGGUAUGCCCCUGGUACGUGAAGGCCCCUUGCGGCCGGAGCGGAACGGGGUCGCAGAGAAUCGGUGGCUGCGACUGUUUAUUAAAAACACAGCACUCUGCAAACACGAAAGUGGACGUAUAGGGUGUGACGCCUGCCCGGUGCCGGAAGGUUAAGUGAUGGGGUGCAAGCUCUUGAUCGAAGCCCCGGUAAACGGCGGCCGUAACAAUAACGGUCCUAAGGUAGCGAAAUUCCUUGUCGGGUAAGUUCCGACCUGCACGAAUGGCGUAACGAUGGCCACACUGUCUCCUCCUGAGACUCAGCGAAGUUGAAAUGUUUGUGAAGAUGCAAUCUCCC
rnacentral:rRNA from 1 species